CCUACGGGCGGCAGCAGUGAGGAAUAUUGGUCAAUGGACGAGAGUCUGAACCAGCCAAGUAGCGUGAAGGAUGACUGCCCUAUGGGUUGUAAACUUCUUUUAUAAGGGAAUAAAGUGCAGCAUGUAUACUGUUUUGUAUGUACAUUAUGAAUAAGGAUCGGCUAACUCCGUGCCAGCAGCCGCGGUAAUACGGAGGAUCCGAGCGUUAUCCGGAUUUAGUGGGUUUAAAGGGAGCGUAGAUGGGUUGUUAAGUCAGUUGUGAAAGUUUGCGGCUCAACCGUAAAAUUGCAGUUGAUACUGGCAGUCUUGAGUACAGUUGAGGUAGGCGGAAUUCGUGGUGUAGCGGUGAAAUGCUUAGAUAUCACGAAGAACUCCGAUUGCGAAGGCAGCUUACUAAACUGCCACUGACAUUGAUGCUCGAAAGUGUGGGUAUCAAACAGGAUUAGAUACCCGGGUAGUC
rnacentral:rRNA from 1 species